rnacentral:rRNA from 1 species
UACGUAGGGUGCAAGCGUUGUCCGGAAUUAUUGGGCGUAAAGAGCUCGUAGGCGGCUCGUCACGUCGGCUGUGAAAACCCGGGGCUCAACCCCGGGCCUGCAGUCGAUACGGGCGAGCUAGAGUUCGGCAGGGGAGACUGGAAUUCCUGGUGUAGCGGUGAAAUGCGCAGAUAUCAGGAGGAACACCGGUGGCGAAGGCGGGUCUCUGGGCAUUACCUGACGCUGAGGAGCGAAAGCGUGGGGAGCGAACAGG